UACGUAGGGGGCAAGCGUUGUCCGGAAUCAUUGGGCGUAAAGCGCGUGUAGGCGGCUCGGUAAGUCUGCUCUGAAAGCCCGAGGCUCAACCUCGGAACUGCCUUCGAUACUGCGGGUCUCGAGUCCGGGAGAGGUGAGUGGAAUUCCUGGUGUAGCGGUGGAAUGCGCAGAUAUCAGGAGGAACACCAAUGGCGAAGGCAGCUCGCUGGGACGGUACUGACGCUGAGGUGCGAAAGCGUGGGGAGCGAACAGG
rnacentral:rRNA from 1 species